UAUUUCGACUGUCACUACGUUCUGAGUUCAAAUUCCGCCGUGGUCGACUUUGCCUUUCAUCCUUUCGGGGUCGAUUAAAUAAGUACCAGUUAUGCACUGGGGAGGUUGAUGUAAUCGACUUAAUCCCCUUGCCUGUCCUGUUUGUCCCCAAUAUGUUUAGCACCCUCGUGGGCAAUA